rnacentral:lncRNA from 1 species
CUGCCACCCUGCAGGCCGGGAAGUUGGCAGGUGUGGCGGGUGGGGUGAGGGGUCCGAGUCCCAUGGCCUAGGACGUUCAUUUCUCCGAGGCUCGGUCUCUCCUCUGGUGGGACCAUGUCUCGAAGAGCCCCUGGCUUGGCUUCUGGAGCUGGCGGCCAGAGCCACCAGGAAGAUCAAGGAGCCAGGGCCACCCUCACGUUGCCUAGGCAACAGCAUCCGUGAUCAGACUGUAAGGCAACUGGGACCCAUGCGUGCUCCCCGGGGGAGGCUGCAGGUUCACGUCGGUGUCCGGUGAUAAAGAAGACACGGAUACAGCAAGAAGGAAGGAGGCCCUGUGCACGACACU